GAUCCUGAUCUGAUGGAGCAUUUUAUUUCUGGACUGCAGAUCACGGUACACCGCCGCCAACAGGAUGACCUGCGAGUUCUGGGACCUCACGUCAAGCUUGGCCGCCAGGAUACAGGCUGCCGGUGGUCGUGUCCCAGUCCAACUACUACAGACAGCGAGCGGACCUGCAGAAAACGAUUGGAAGUCCUAUUGCAGUGUGAUUAAAUGGAAAUCGGUACCAAAACAUGAUAUCCCAUAUUUAGCAAUGUAUCCUAUAAUCAAUCUUUUACAUAUUUGAAAGUGGUUAUGAGAUUUUGUUUUCUGCAUACUAUCUCUGUGAUAUGACGCGCAUAACCUGGAGUGAAUGUGCAGUUUUUUUCAUUGUCUGCAUUGAGAUUUAGUAUUGUUUUCAUGCUAUCAUAGACUACUUAUAUGCCUUUCCAUCGUAUUUGAUCACAGCUGCUGUUAAUAGAAUACGUGGCUUCUGACUGUAUGGAAGUUUCUUAUGGAGAAGUAGUAGCUUUAUUAUUUGCGACCUGUUAAAUAGAUAGUGAUAUCGUCCCCUUACAUUCAAGUGAUUCAACUGUUAUGAUAACUCUUACUGUUGUAAGCUCACUAAGCGCAGCUUAGUUAUCAAUCUAUUCAAAAUAAUAAUGAAGGUAUCUUCGUAUGCAUUUUCUAUCCCUUUCAGUACAAUACUCCAUAUAUUCACAUGUUCCCUGUGUUUAGAUCACAAAUACUUAUCUAAAUAUAUUCCAAAAAAUAUUACAAGGUACUGAUCAUCAUGCACAAUGAUUUCUCUAUUUUCUAGACUUUCGUUUUCCUUCUGGAAGCAAGGGAUUCAUGUAAUUACUUUUUGACAUGCUGAUGCAUCGCUGCAGUUUUAAUUCUUCCUUUGUACUCAGUUAGGGACUUAGGUCUACAAGGAGAUCAAAUAUUGCUUAGAGCUCUGAAUUGGUGUGCAUGUAGUAUAAUAAAGUGGUUCUUGAAUUUUACAUAUAUCCUCGCUUUGGGUUGAGUAAAUCGAUAAUAAUAUGAUUUUCUUUUAUGCUUUAUCUCUUUCUUUAGUGGUUGAAUUCAGAAGAUAAAAUACCCAUCUGCCACUGGCAUCUGGACUUUGUUAUGCGAUAUACAUUUGGCCGUGGCUCAGUUUCAAAUACUGAGUAAUUUGUUCUGAAGGGAGCUUGGCAAUUUUAGUGAGGCCUGAAGAUAGUGUUCAUAUGUUACAGUUGUAUCAUGAAAUCUGAAUCUGAAGUUUUGAAGCUCAGUUUGAAUGAAGGCUGCAAAGAAUAGAUAGACAGAGAAAUCGCUAACUUAGGUAUCUUUCACUCUGCGGAACUUCUAUUCGAUAGCAUAAUAUCAAGUAGAAGGUGCCAAUUCUCGCAAAAAAAAAAAGUAGAAGGUGCCAAGGCAGUGAGCUUGACAGCGAAAACAUUCUAUUGGAGGUUCUGCUGUUAUAUACAGGUAUCCUUCCUUGCUUUAAAGUCAGUGAUGGAAAAGUUAGAAAAAACAGUGCACUGGCUAACAUAUAAACUAUACCAUCAUUUAUGUAUUCAGAAACAAUGUGAUAUUUCUGGAAUCCAUGUGCUAUAGUUUAUAUCCAUGAUAUUUCCGUUUAAUUGUAUAUCAAGUACUUUAUGUUUCCUACUUAUCUCUGUUAAUACAUCAAGAGCAUAUAAUUUCGUUUUCUGUAUGGUCAACUUUGUCAACUUCCCUCAUAUUAGAAAUUUUACCAUCUGAACUUUAGGCGUGUUCACAAUACAACUUCUAGGAAACUAUUUUCGGACCAAGUCAAGCAUUUCAGGUAAGUCGUCCUUGAACCUUCAUAUAUCCACUCAUCUUCUCCAAGCUCAAGUGUUCGCUACAUGAGUGUCAUUUGCCAUUGCCUCAGCACUUCACUUAUUUCACUAACUAUACAGGGUUGCACAGAGGCUCUUGGGAGUAAGAUUUGCUUUUGUUGGUGAUCGACUGCACAUGCACGUUGCUGUCCAGUUGUUAACAAUUUACUUGGUCCCCUUUACUAAUACACAGACCCAAUGACAUAUAUGCUUAUGUUCAUCACUACACAGUAUUAAAAAAUGGUGUACCCUAUUUCGUAAACCUCAAGUUUUAAGUGGAAAAGCACCUCUUUACUGUGAUGACUCAGUAUAGGAAGAAAAACCGGCUCACAAGUUUUGGCGUUCACGCCCGAGUGGACAUGCUACCACAAACUGUGAUAAUUCUCAUCCUGGUUCAACAAGUGUGAUUUCGGUAACCUGCAGUUCUUGUGAUCAUGAUCCGUGCUUGCACUAUUUGUGGAAACCUAUAUGUGACACCCUGAAUCUUCUUUCAUAUUUUCCAGAUUUUGUUGCUUGGAUCGGCAGAAGCUGCCUACAUUUAAAUUUCCAUUGUGCAGAGGUCUCUGACUUGCAUGUUUAUGCUCUCAUGUAGAAUAAACAAUUAAUGCAGCAUCAGAUUUUUAU